AAGUAAAAUAGUAAUGAUUGUUAAGUAAAAUAGUCAUGAUUGAAAUGAGAUUCUACUAAAAACAAAGAGAACAAUUGCAAAGCUUUUCAAGAUGAAAAUGUAGUAAGAACAUGCUUGACAUUUAAGGAUGGUGUUGCAGACCUUGAGGUAGCAUCAGCUGUAUGUUAAGUUUGCAAAGUGAGUUCAGGAUGGAAAAUAUUUCAUUCUUGGGACAUGUGGUCUCUAAUG
rnacentral:misc_RNA from 1 species